UACGAAGGGGGGCUAGCGUUGCUCGGAAUCACUGGGCGUAAAGCGCACGUAGGCGGAUUGUUAAGUCAGGGGUGAAAUCCUGGAGCUCAACUCCAGAACUGCCUUUGAUACUGGCGAUCUCGAGUCCGGGAAAGGUGAGUGGAACUGCGAGUGUAGAGGUGAAAUUCGUAGAUAUUCGCAAGAACACCAGUGGCGAAGGCGGCUCACUGGCCCGGUAUGACGCUGAGGUGCGAAAGCGUGGGGAGCAAACAGG
rnacentral:rRNA from 1 species